UACGUAGGGUGCGAGCGUUAAUCGGAAUUACUGGGCGUAAAGCGUGCGCAGGCGGUUAUGUAAGUCCGAUGUGAAAUCCCCGGGCUUAACCUGGGAACUGCAUUGGUGACUGCAUUGCUGGAGUAUGGCAGAGGGGGGUGGAAUUCCACGUGUAGCAGUGAAAUGCGUAGAGAUGUGGAGGAACACCGAUGGCGAAGGCAGCCCCCUGGGCCAAUACUGACGCUCAUGCACGAAAGCGUGGGGAGCAAACAGG
rnacentral:rRNA from 1 species